rnacentral:rRNA from 1 species
UACGUAGGGUGCAAGCGUUGCCCGGAUUUACUGGGCGUAAAGGGCGCGUAGGCGGUUAUGUAAGUGAGAUGUGAAAUCCCUGGGCUUAACCUAGGAACUGCAUCUCAUACUGCGUAGCUAGAGUAUUGUAGAGGGUAGUGGAAUUUCCGGUGUAGCGGUGAAAUGCGUAGAGAUCGGAAGGAACACCAGUGGCGAAGGCGGCUACCUGGACAAAUACUGACGCUGAUGCGCGAAAGCGUGGGGAUCAAACAGG